rnacentral:tRNA from 1 species
GGCAAGAUGGCCGAGCGGUCUAAGGCGCUAGUCUCAAGUUACCCAACUUCGCUGUAAGACAGUGUUAUUACUAGUGAGGAAACUCUCGUGGGUUCGAAUCCCACUCUUGUCA